AUGGAGCAGCAGGAGGAGGCGCCGACGUCGACGCCCACGGUGGCGCUGGCCACGUCGCCCAAGCCGGCGCCGGCGAGCAACGGCCGCAAGAAGCUGCCGUCGCGGUUCCGGCGGGUGUGCGUGUUCUGCGGGAGCAGCCCGGGGAGGAAGCCGGCGUACCAGCUGGCCGCCGUGCAGCUCGGGCAGCAGCUGGUGGAGCGCGGCAUCGACCUCGUGUACGGCGGCGGCAGCGUGGGGCUCAUGGGCCUGGUGUCCCGCGCCGUGCACGGCGGCGGCGGGCGCGUCACGGGCGUCGUGCCGCGGUCGGUCCUCCCGCGGGAGCUCAUCGGCGAGACGCCCGGCGGCGAGGAGGUGAAGGCCGUGUCCGGCAUGCACCAGCGCAAGGCCGAGAUGGCCCGCCGCGCCGACGCCUUCGUGGCGCUCCCCGGCGGCUACGGCACGCUGGAGGAGCUGCUGGAGGUGAUCACCUGGGCGCAGCUCGGCAUCCACGACAAGCCCGUGGGCCUGCUGAACGUGGAGGGGUACUACGACUCGCUGCUGGACUUCAUCGACAGGGCGGUGGACGAGGGGUUCGUGUCGCCGGCGGCAAGGCGCAUCAUCGUGGCGGCGCCCACGCCCGCCGAGCUGCUGGCGGCGCUGGAGGAGUACGCGCCGGCGCACCACGACGCAUCCGCCAUCAAGCUCAGCUGGGAGUCGUCCGUGGACACCAUGGCGUGCUCGCCGCCCAGGCCGGACAUCUCGCGCUAG
rnacentral:rRNA from 1 species